rnacentral:misc_RNA from 1 species
AACGCACAUUGCGCCCCUUGGUAUUCCGAGGGGCAUGCCUGUUCGAGCGUCAUUACACCACUCAAGCAAAGCUCGGUAAUGGGCAUCGUCCGCCGUAAAGGCGGGCGUGCCUCGAAGACCUCGGCGGGGUUUCUCCAACUUCGGGUGUAGUAGAGUUAAAUCAAAACGUCCUACGAGCUUGGUGAGACCCCAUUGCCGCUAAACCUUUUUAUAUUUACAGGUUGACCUCGGAUCAGGUAGGGAUACCCGCUGAACUUAA